rnacentral:lncRNA from 1 species
GCAGCUGCCGGACACCAGGAGACGAUGGAAGGUCUAUAGUGUUACAGCUCUGACCCAGGAAGUCCCAGGGUCUUGCCUUCCAGAAGGGUCGCGGCUCUUCCCUCCCUCAGUCCAACGAACAGGAGCACGUCACCUCCCGCAGCUCGGGGAGCUGGCCAGGAACGUGUUACAGCCCGUUUCGCUCCUGUCCGCAGCUGGGUGAGGCAGCCAGGAAAAUAUUACAGCUCUUCUCACGCCCGCCAUUCAGCAGGUCCUGACUUCUUGUGUGACAUCCAGAAGAAAGGGGUUACACAGACAGCUGGAGGGUGAGCAAAGUGGAGAAGUUCUCAGCAGAGAGGAGACUGGAGUGAGUUGCCCCUACCCGCAGGUGCCAACUGUAAUACAUCAGUAGCUGAACAGCUCAUUGCCCUCAAGUGUUCUUGCUCAUGCCUGGCUGAGUUAUUGAAGAAAUUGCUCAGAUCUCAAGCCCUUGUAGAUCACUGGUCCUGGCAGAUGUUAUUCCAAACCAUAUUUGAGCAGGGAGAAAAAUCAGUGCACUUGAAGAUAAGACAAUGGAAAUUGAGUCUUGGAAGAAGAGGGAACAGAUUCUGUGGGACACAGCAAACAGACCACCAUGUGCAUUGUGGGAAUCCCCGAAGAAGAAGAAAAAGAAAAUGGAAUAAAAUACUCAAAGAAAUAGUGGCUAAAAACCUCUUAAAUGAAAAAGAUACAAGUACGAACAUUAAAAAAAUUCAAAACACAUCAAAAUGAAAUCAAAGAGACCCACACUAAGACACUUUAUAAUCAAUCUUUUGAAAGAUAAAGACAAAAAGAAGAUCUUAAAAGCAGCAAGAUAACUGACUUACAUACAAGAGAUCAGCAAUACCAUUAUCAGAUUUCUCAUGAGACAUUUUGAAGGCCAGAAGGCAUUGGACCUUGAAAAUCUCCCAAGUGCUGAAAGAAAAAGCAAAAACAAAACAAAAAAACCCACAAAAACAAAACAAAACAAAAUAGCCACAAAAAAUGCUGUCAACCAAGAAUCCUAUAGAAAAUCUGUCCUUCAAAUGUAAGAAAUUAAAACAUUUUUAGAUGAACAAAGCUUUGGGAAUUUAUUACCACUAGACCUACUCUACAGAAAAGUUUCAAGGGACUUCUACAAAAUGAAAUAACACUAGACAGUAAUUUGAAGCCAUAUAAAGAAAUAAAGAUGUCAACAAAGGAAAGACAGCAUUCAAGGAACCACCUUGUACGCAGACACUGAAACCUCGCGAGACAACAAAACUGCUGACACCUUGAUCUUGGACUUCCCAGCCUCCAGAACUAUAAACCAGCAAAGAGUACAUAGAACAAACAUUUUUUUUAGAAGGAUUAAAUGGGACAAUUAAACAAUUUGAUCAGCAUAAUGUCCAGCUCAAGGAUCUUGGAGGUGGUGAGGCAGCCCAAGUGGAAAGGCAGCAGAAGGGGUAUCCUUGUUUUACCAAUUACUCAUAUGUAGGAGAUGGUGCAUUAAAUGAAAUAUUCUCUGCUCUCUCCUAACAUCUACCCCCUCACACCAAGAGGAAGGCAUGUCGCCUGAACCUUUGCAGUAUUCAAUUAAAGUUCUAUUCACACGGUAUUGCAGUUGUUUGCUUAUCUUUCUUUCUUAUUAGACUUAAAACUUCUGGAAACUAGAGGCUAUAUUACUUAUUUGCCUCAGAGUCCUGUUGGCCUAUCAAAUGGCACACCUUCAAUCCAAGAAUGAAUUAAUUAAAUAAAUGUGAAGAAAAAAAAAAUCCAAGUUGCUUAUUUUUGUUAAAUUUAUUUUUCCCCAAAAUAUUUACUGAGAAAAUGACUCUGGGAAGAUAGCAGAGUGGAAAGCCCCAGAAAUGUGUUUCCCCACCUAGACAACAACUGUACUGGCAGAAUCUGUUUGAUGUGACUAUUCUGAAGUUCUGAAUUGAAUAAAUAUGAAGAAAAUACAAA